rnacentral:rRNA from 1 species
CCUACGGGUGGCAGCAGUGAGGAAUAUUGGUCAAUGGCCGGAAGGCUGAACCAGCCAAGCCGCGUGAAGGACGACGGUGCCAAGCAUUGUAAACCUCUUUUGUCGGGGAGCAAAAGACGCCACGCGUGGCGUUCCGAGAGUACCCGAAGAAAAAGCAUCGGCUAACUCCGUGCCAGCAGCCGCGGUAAUACGGAGGAUGCGAGCGUUAUCCGGAUUUAUUGGGUUUAAAGGGUGCGCAGGCGGAAGAUCAAGUCAGCGGUAAAAUUGAGAGGCUCAACCUCUUCGAGCCGUUGAAACUGGUUUUCUUGAGGGAGUGGGAAGUAUGCGGAAUGCGUGGUGGAGCGGUGGAAUG